rnacentral:rRNA from 1 species
AACGAACGCUUGCGGCAGGCCUAACACAUGCAAGUCGAACGCCCUAGCAAUAGGGAGUGGCAUACGGGUGAGUAACAUGUGGGAAUAUCCCCCUCAGUACGGAAUAGCCCAGGGAAACUUGGAGUAAUAACGUAUACGUCCGGGAGGAGCAAGAUUUAUCGCGGAGGGAGUAGCCUGCGUCGGAUUAGCUAGUUGGUGAGGUAACGGCUCACCAAGGCGACGAUCCGUAGCUGGUCUGAGAGGACGACCAGCCACAUUGGGACUGAGACACGGCCCAAACGCCUACGGGAGGCAGCAGUGGGGAAUAUUGGACAAUGGGCGCAAGCCUGAUCCAGCCAUGCCGCGUGGGUGACGAAGGCCUUAGGGUUGUAAAGCUCUUUUGGCGGGGACGAUAAUGACAGUACCCGCAGAAUAAGCCCCGGCUAACUCCGUGCCAGCCGCCGCAGUAAGAC